GAUGAACGCUGGCGGCGUGCCUAAUACAUGCAAGUCGAGCGAACAGAUGAGGAGCUUGCUCCUCUGAUGUUAGCGGCGGACGGGUGAGUAACACGUGGAUAACCUACCUAUAAGACUGGGAUAACUUCGGGAAACCGGAGCUAAUACCGGAUAAUAUAUUGAACCGCAUGGUUCAAAAGUGAAAGACGGUUUUGCUGUCACUUAUAGAUGGAUCCGCGCUGCAUUAGCUAGUUGGUAAGGUAACGGCUUACCAAGGCAACGAUGCGUAGCCGACCUGAGAGGGUGAUCGGCCACACUGGAACUGAGACACGGUCCAGACUCCUACGGGAGGCAGCAGUAGGGAAUCUUCCGCAAUGGGCGAAAGCCUGACGGAGCAACGCCGCGUGAGUGAUGAAGGUCUUCGGAUCGUAAAACUCUGUUAUUAGGGAAGAACAUAUGUGUAAGUAACUAUGCACGUCUUGACGGUACCUAAUCAGAAAGCCACGGCUAACUACGUG
rnacentral:rRNA from 1 species